rnacentral:rRNA from 1 species
UACGUAGGUGGCAAGCGUUGUCCGGAAUUAUUGGGCGUAAAGCGCGCGCAGGUGGGAUCUUAAGUCCAUUUUGAAAGUUCGGAGCUCAACUCCGUGAUGGGAUGGAAACUGGGAUUCUUGAGUAUCGGAGAGGAAAGCGGAAUUCCCCGUGUAGCGGUGAAAUGCGUAGAUAUGGGGAGGAACACCAGUGGCGAAGGCGGCUUUCUGGACGAUGUCUGACACUGAGGCGCGAAAGCCAGGGGAGCGAACGGGAUUAGAUACCCCGGUAGUCCUGGCCGUAAACGAUGGGUACUAGGUGUGGGGGGUGUCAACUCCUCCCGUGCCGGCGCUAACGCAAUAAGUACCCCGCCUGGGGAGUACGGCCGCAAGGUUGAA